rnacentral:lncRNA from 1 species
GGAGACAUUUAAAAAUAUUUAAUACAUGUUUGGUAUACAAUAUUUUGACAUUAUACAAAAGAAUAUUAUAGCUUCUCUUUUGUUUUCAAUUCUAAAUCCUCCCUACCAAAUGGUUAAUUCCAUUUAUAAACAUGUGACACGAAAAGUUCGGUUAUUUCUCAAAAUUAAAAUGAAGAAAAAUGGGUUUGGUUGAAUUCAAGUAUGAAAAUAGAGCUAUUGGCAUACCUCAACUUGUUUAUUAGCUACUGCCAAGUGUAAGAUAGUGUUUCCAUCACUAUCUUUACAAUUUGUGAAAUCUUG